UACGGGGGGGGCAAGCGUUGUUCGGAAUUACUGGGCGUAAAGGGCGCGUAGGCGGCCUUCUAAGUCGGACGUGAAAUCCCUCGGCUUAACCGAGGAACUGCGUCCGAUACUGAAAGGCUUGAAUCCGGGAGAGGGAUGUGGAAUUCCAGGUGUAGCGGUGAAAUGCGUAGAUAUCUGGAGGAACACCGGUGGCGAAGGCGGCAUCCUGGACCGGUAUUGACGCUGAGGCGCGAAAGCUAGGGGAGCAAACGGG
rnacentral:rRNA from 1 species